rnacentral:rRNA from 1 species
CCUGCGGACGGAGCAUUGUCGAAAUCGAACGGAAGAACGACCCGCGAAUCGUCAUUGCGUACUAGACAGAGCCCGCGAGCGCCUAACGCUCAUGGGGCUCGCGUCGCGUCGGCGCGGGUGUACUCGAGACCCGCGUCGCACCGGCGGACGAACAAAGUCAGCACGGAUCGUGCCAAGGAGCUUUAMGRAGAGWAUCGUCGUCCCACGCCUYCGAUAGUCCUCGAUGCGGGACGGGGGGCGGGGGAUGUACGCAAUCUCUACUCAAGUCAAAACGACUCUCGGCAACGGAUAUCUCGGCUCUUGCAUCGAUGAAGAACGUAGCGAAAUGCGAUACUUGGUGUGAAUUGCAGAAUCCCGCGAACCAUCAAAUCUUUGAACGCAAGUUGCGCCCGAAGCCAUUCGGCCGAGGGCACGCCUGCCUGGGUGUCGUGAAUCCCCUUGCCCCCUAGGCACCCCGCACGAGCAUCGGCGGGGACAUAUGCUCGGGCGCAGAAUGUGGUCUCCCGUGGGAUCGGCAGUGCAUGUCGAGGUGCGGUUGGCCGAAAAUCGAGCAUGGCGGUGACGGGCACCACGGCGUUCGGUGGAUCGAAUGAGAUUGGCUCCGCCGUGGGCUCGGCAUUCGGCGGGCUCCGGACUUUGAAUAUCCCCGAGUGCGAUCCCAGGUCAGGCGGGGCUACCCGCUGAGUUUAAGCAUAUCAUUAAGCGGAGGAAAAGAAACUAACGAGGAUUCCCUUAGUAGCGGCGAGCGAACCGGGAAGAGCCCAGCGUGAAAAUCGUCCGUCAUCGGCGGCCGAAUUGUAGUCUGGAGAAGCGUCCU